CCGUUAGGGGCGGCUCAUCGAGAGCCUGAGAACUGCACCCUUAGAACCUGACCUGGAUGAUGCCAGCGUAGGGAAACGGU
rnacentral:ncRNA from 1 species